rnacentral:rRNA from 1 species
GCUCAGGAUGAACGCUAGCUACAGGCUUAACACAUGCAAGUCGAGGGGUAGCAGGGUAGCAAUACCGCUGACGACCGGCGCACGGGUGAGUAACACGUAUCCAACCUUCCCAUAACUCGGGGAUAGCCUUUCGAAAGAAAGAUUAAUACCCGAUAGUACUUUUUUAGGGCAUCUUAGAAAAGUUAAAGAUUUAUUGGUUAUGGAUGGGGAUGCGUUCCAUUAGAUAGUUGGUGAGGUAACGGCUCACCAAGUCUUCGAUGGAUAGGGGUUCUGAGAGGAAGGUCCCCCACAUUGGUACUGAGACACGGACCAAACUCCUACGGGAGGCAGCAGUGAGGAAUAU